rnacentral:rRNA from 1 species
UACAGAGGUCUCAAGCGUUGUUCGGAAUCACUGGGCGUAAAGCGUGCGUAGGCGGGAUAGCAAGUCAGAUGUGAAAUCCUAUGGCUUAACCAUAGAACUGCAUUUGAAACUGUUAUUCUAGAGUAUGGGAGAGGUAGGUGGAAUUCUUGGUGUAGGGGUAAAAUCCGUAGAGAUCAAGAGGAAUACUCAUUGCGAAGGCGACCUGCUAGAACAUAACUGACGCUGAUGCGCGAAAGCGUGGGGAGCAAACAGG